rnacentral:rRNA from 1 species
GACGAACGCUGGCGGCGUGCUUAACACAUGCAAGUCGAACGGAAAGGCCCUGCUUUUGUGGGGUGCUCGAGUGGCGAACGGGUGAGUAACACGUGAGUAACCUGCCCUUGACUUUGGGAUAACUUCAGGAAACUGGGGCUAAUACCGGAUAGGAGCUCCUGCUGCAUGGUGGGGGUUGGAAAGUUUCGGCGGUUGGGGAUGGACUCGCGGCUUAUCAGCUUGUUGGUGGGGUAGUGGCUUACCAAGGCUUUGACGGGUAGCCGGCCUGAGAGGGUGACCGGCCACAUUGGGACUGAGAUACUGCCCAGACUCCUACGGGAGGCAGCAGUGGGGAAUAUUGCACAAUGGGCGGAAGCCUGAUGCAGCAACGCCGCGUGCGGGAGGACGGCCUUCGGGUUGUAAACCGCUUUCGCCUGUGACGAAGCGUGAGUGACGGUAAUGGGUAAAGAAGCACCGGCUAACUACGU